UCUCUCUUUACUUCUUUUUUUUUCUUUUCUUGAACCCCCAAAACUUCUUGGAUUAUCAUUUCCAUCUUCGCCCGACAGAAAUCCCUCCUCCAAUAUCGCACUACUGGGGAAUACUAUUGCUCUGACGUCAUGAUGCCAGACUCCUCAGAGUAACAUCUUCCAACUUCCAUCUCGCACGACAGAAAUUCUUCCUCCAAUAUCGCACUACUG
rnacentral:lncRNA from 1 species